GACGUAGGGGCCAGCGUUGUUCGGAAUUACUGGGUGUAAAGGGUUCGUAGGCGGUGCGGCAAGUUGGGAGUGAAAUCUCGUGGGCUUAACCCAGAGGCUGCUUCCAAAACUGCUGUGCUUGAGUGUGGGAGAGGCGCGUGGAAUUCCCAGUGUAGAGGUGAAAUUCGUAGAUAUUGGGAAGAACACCGGUGGCGAAGGCGGCGACCUGGUCCUUGACUGACGCUGAGGCGCGAAAGCGUGGGGAGCAAACAGG
rnacentral:rRNA from 1 species